UUCUUUUGGCAUGCGGUUACUUGGAGAAAUGUAUGCGCUUCACACUUCACCGCCAUCUUGGAUUUUUUGACUUGCCUCGGUAAAGCCGGGAGCAAAACCUAGUAAUUUUCUUCACUUUAGCUCUAAGUCCAAGAAAAUGCAGCCUUUAGCCGCACGAGUCAUGAACCAUUUCCGAGCUACAGUCCCGCAUUUAUACGAGCUAAGGUUUCUACUCGCAGGAAUGGGGAUCGUAUACUACGGAAUUUACAAGAUACAGAAAUCAGGUCAAAAGAAAGCUAUUGAAGGCUCUUCGCAUCAUUGAAUAUGACUUCCUGGAGUAUGUGUGCUGUUGCAUCUGGAAGGGAUUGGAGAAAUUCAGGACAGAUGUCAAUAAUACUUGGAUGGACAUUUUAAAAGUCAUAUUUGUUUGUAUUUGUAAAAAGGUUGUGCAAUGAGGUGAUAUUAAAUUUGACAGAAACUCGA